rnacentral:lncRNA from 1 species
CAAGAACACACACACCUAGAUGAGCUAAAUUAUCUAAAUCCUCUCCUGGGGAGAAGGCUAAGUGUUGCUUGGGAAAGAUGCGGAACGGUGGAACCCCUUCCUCGCCCUCCCCCGAAGUGGGGGGACCAGACCUGUCUCCCCAGAGGCAGGUUAAUGACUUGUUAUUUCUUGAGCUUGUCCCUCUUUGAGAUUCCACUCCAAUGGCCUAUCAAAGGAUGUCUUCCAACUACGUAAGAACUACCCUAAAAGGCUUCUGAUCAUCAUAUUAAACAAGGAUUUUGC